rnacentral:rRNA from 1 species
CCUACGGGGGGCUGCAGUGAGGAAUAUUGGUCAAUGGGCGCAAGCCUGAACCAGCCAUCCCGCGUGAAGGAAGAAUGCGCUACGCGUUGUAAACUUCUUUUCCAGGGGGAGAAUAAUCCUGUCGUGACAGGACUUGACGGUACUCUGGGAAUAAGCAUCGGCUAACUCCGUGCCAGCAGCCGCGGUAAUACGGAGGAUGCGAGCGUUAUCCGGAUUUAUUGGGUUUAAAGGGUGCGUAGGCGGAUUGAUAAGUCAGUGGUGAAAUUCUACAGCUUAACUGUAGACUUGCCGUUGAUACUGUUAGUCUUGAGUGUGGUCAAGGCAGGCGGAAUGUGUAAUGUAGCGGUGAAAUGCUUAGAUAUUACACAGAACACCGAUUGCGAAGGCAGCUUGCUGGGUCAUUACUGACGCUGAUGCACGAAAGCGUGGGGAUCAAACAGGAUUAGAUACCCUGGUAGUC